rnacentral:rRNA from 1 species
CCUACGGGUGGCAGCAGUGAGGAAUAUUGGUCAAUGGACGCAAGUCUGAACCAGCCAUGCCGCGUGCAGGAAGACGGCUCUAUGAGUUGUAAACUGCUUUUGUACGAGGGUAAACUCUGAUACGCGUACCUUUCUGAAUGUAUCUUACGAAUAAGGAUCGGCUAACUCCGUGCCAGCAGCCGCGGUAAUACGGAGGAUUCAAGCGUUAUCCGGAUUUAUUGGGUUUAAAGGGUGCGUAGGCGGUCGGUUAAGUUAGCGGUGAAAUCCCGAGGCUCAACUUCGGAAUUGCCUCUGAUACUGUUAGGCUAGAGGGUAGUAGCGGUAGGCGGAAUGUGUGGUGUAGCGGUGAAAUGCUUAGAGAUCAUGCAGAACACCGAUUGCGAAGGCAGCUUACCAAGCUACAUCUGACGUUGAGGCACGAAAGCGUGGGGAGCAAACAGGAUUAGAUACCCGUGUAGUC